AUUGAACGCUGGCGGCAUGCCUUACACAUGCAAGUCGAACGGCAGCACGGGUGCUUGCACCUGGUGGCGAGUGGCGAACGGGUGAGUAAUACAUCGGAACAUGUCCUGUAGUGGGGGAUAGCCCGGCGAAAGCCGGAUUAAUACCGCAUACGAUCUACGGAUGAAAGCGGGGGACCUUCGGGCCUCGCGCUAUAGGGUUGGCCGAUGGCUGAUUAGCUAGUUGGUGGGGUAAAGGCCUACCAAGGCGACGAUCAGUAGCUGGUCUGAGAGGACGACCAGCCACACUGGGACUGGGACACGGCCAAGCCUCCUACGGGAGGCAGCAGUGGGGAAUUUUGGACAAUGGGCGAAAGCCUGAUCCAGCAAUGCCGCGUGUGUGAAGAAGGCCUUCGGGUUGUAAAGCACUUUUGUCCGGAAAGAAAUCCUUGGCCCUAAUACGGUCGGGGGAUGACGGUACCGGAAGAAUAAGCACCGGCUAACUACGUG
rnacentral:rRNA from 1 species